rnacentral:rRNA from 1 species
GGGUUGUGAGGUUAAGCGACUAAGCGUACACGGUGGAUGCCCUGGCAGUCAGAGGCGAUGAAGGACGUGCUAAUCUGCGAUAAGCGCCGGUAAGGUGAUAUGAACCGUUAUAACCGGCGAUUUCCGAAUGGGGAAACCCAGUGUGACUCGUCACACUAUCAUUAACUGAAUCCAUAGGUUAAUGAGGCGAACCGGGGGAACUGAAACAUCUAAGUACCCCGAGGAAAAGAAAUCAACCGAGAUUCCCCCAGUAGCGGCGAGCGAACGGGGAGGAGCCCAGAGCCUGAAUCAGCAUGUGUGUUAGUGGAAGCGUCUGGAAAGGCGCGCGAUACAGGGUGACAGCCCCGUACACAAAAGCGCAUAUGCUGUGAGCUCGAUGAGUAGGGCGGGACACGUGGUAUCCUGUCUGAAUAUGGGGGGACCAUCCUCCAAGGCUAAAUACUCCUGACUGACCGAUAGUGAACCAGUACCGUGAGGGAAAGGCGAAAAGAACCCCGGCGAGGGGAGUGAAAAAGAACCUGAAACCGUGUACGUACAAGCAGUGGGAGCCCCACCACUAAGCCAGUGGUGAACUCCACAUACGCAUCCUUUGCUGAGGAUACGGUUAACGGAGCGAAAGCGACGUUCAACCGCAAAAGAAGCAGAGGGGGCUUAGUGGUGGGGUGACUGCGUACCUUUUGUAUAAUGGGUCAGCGACUUAUAUUCUGUAGCAAGGUUAACCGAAUAGGGGAGCCGGAGGGAAACCGAGUCUUAAUUGGGCGUUAAGUUGCAGGGUAUAGACCCGAAACCCGGUGAUCUAGCCAUGGGCAGGUUGAAGGUUGGGUAACACUAACUGGAGGACCGAACCGACUAAUGUUGAAAAAUUAGCGGAUGACCUGUGGCUGGGGGUGAAAGGCCAAUCAAACCGGGAGAUAGCUGGUUCUCCCCGAAAGCUAUUUAGGUAGCGCCUCGUGAAUUCAUCUCCGGGGGUAGAGCACUGUUUCGGCUAGGGGGCCAUCCCGGCUUACCAACCCGAUGCAAACUGCGAAUACCGGAGAAUGUUAUCACGGGAGACACACGGCGGGUGCUAACGUCCGUCGUGAAGAGGGAAACAACCCAGACCGCCAGCUAAGGUCCCAAAGUCAUGGUUAAGUGGGAAACGAUGUGGGAAGGCCCAGACAGCCAGGAUGUUGGCUUAGAAGCAGCCAUCAUUUAAAGAAAGCGUAAUAGCUCACUGGUCGAGUCGGCCUGCGCGGAAGAUGUAACGGGGCUAAACCAUGCACCGAAGCUGCGGCAGCGACACUCAGGUGUUGUUGGGUAGGGGAGCGUUCUGUAAGCCUGCGAAGGUGGCCUGUGAGGGUUGCUGGAGGUAUCAGAAGUGCGAAUGCUGACAUAAGUAACGAUAAAGCGGGUGAAAAGCCCGCUCGCCGGAAGACCAAGGGUUCCUGUCCAACGUUAAUCGGGGCAGGGUGAGUCGACCCCUAAGGCGAGGCCGAAAGGCGUAGUCGAUGGGAAACGGGUUAAUAUUCCCGUACUUGGUGUUACUGCGAAGGGGGGACGGAGAAGGCUAUGUUGGCCGGGCGACGGUUGUCCCGGUUUAAGCGUGUAGGCUGGUUUUCCAGGCAAAUCCGGAAAAUCAAGGCUGAGGCGUGACGACGAGGCACUACGGUGCUGAAGCAACAAAUGCCCUGCUUCCAGGAAAAGCCUCUAAGCAUCAGGUAACACGAAAUCGUACCCCAAACCGACACAGGUGGUCAGGUAGAGAAUACCAAGGCGCUUGAGAGAACUCGGGUGAAGGAACUAGGCAAAAUGGUGCCGUAACUUCGGGAGAAGGCACGCUGACA